rnacentral:tRNA from 1 species
GGGGAUGUAGAUCAGUGGGAGAACAAUUGCCUGCCAUACACAGGCCCUAGGUUCAAUUCCUAGCACUGCCA